rnacentral:rRNA from 1 species
AGAGUUUGAUCAUGGCUCAGAUUGAACGCUGGCGGCAUGCCUUACACAUGCAAGUCGAACGGCAGCACGGGGGCAACCCUGGUGGCGAGUGGCGAACGGGUGAGUAAUACAUCGGAACGUGUCCUGGAGUGGGGGAUAGCCCGGCGAAAGCCGGAUUAAUACCGCAUACGCUCUGAGGAGGAAAGCGGGGGAUCUUUCGGGACCUCGCGCUCAAGGGGCGGCCGAUGGCAGAUUAGCUAGUUGGUGGGGUAAAGGCCUACCAAGGCGACGAUCUGUAGCUGGUCUGAGAGGACGACCAGCCACACUGGGACUGAGACACGGCCCAGACUCCUACGGGAGGCAGCAGUGGGGAAUUUUGGACAAUGGGGGCAACCCUGAUCCAGCAAUGCCGCGUGUGUGAAGAAGGCCUUCGGGUUGUAAAGCACUUUUGUCCGGAAAGAAAACCUCCGUCCUAAUACGGUGGGGGGAUGACGGUACCGGAAGAAUAAGCACCGGCUAACUACGUGCCAGCAGCCGCGGUAAUACGUAGGGUGCAAGCGUUAAUCGGAAUUACUGGGCGUAAAGUGUGCGCAGGCGGUUCGCUAAGACAGAUGUGAAAUCCCCGGGCUUAACCUGGGAACUGCAUUUGUGACUGGCGGGCUAGAGUAUGGCAGAGGGGGGUAGAAUUCCACGUGUAGCAGUGAAAUGCGUAGAGAUGUGGAGGAAUACCGAUGGCGAAGGCAGCCCCCUGGGCCAAUACUGACGCUCAUGCACGAAAGCGUGGGGAGCAAACAGGAUUAGAUACCCUAGUAGUCC